GAGUUUGAUCCUGGCUCAGGACGAACGCUGGCGGCGUGCUUAACACAUGCAAGUCGAACGAUGAUGCCCAGCUUGCUGGGUGGAUUAGUGGCGAACGGGUGAGUAACACGUGAGUAACCUGCCCCUGACUCUGGGAUAAGCGUUGGAAACGACGUCUAAUACUGGAUAUGAUCACUGGCCGCAUGGUCUGGUGGUGGAAAGAUUUUUUGGUUGGGGAUGGACUCGCGGCCUAUCAGCUUGUUGGUGAGGUAAUGGCUCACCAAGGCGACGACGGGUAGCCGGCCUGAGAGGGUGACCGGCCACACUGGGACUGAGACACGGCCCAGACUCCUACGGGAGGCAGCAGUGGGGAAUAUUGCACAAUGGGCGAAAGCCUGAUGCAGCAACGCCGCGUGAGGGAUGACGGCCUUCGGGUUGUAAACCUCUUUUAGUAGGGAAGAAGCGAAAGUGAC
rnacentral:rRNA from 1 species